GUUAUUGACUUCGGAAGAAAUAAUAUUACGAUAAUACUAUUGAAACUCCCGAGUGUACCGAUUGUUGUUUAAAGCUAUUUAUAUUUUUUUUGUGACGACAUACAAAUCGUGGAAAACACCAGACAGCAUGGCUUUCAUCACAGCGAAAGAAAAUAACAGCACAUCAAACUUUGACAAACCAAUGAAGAUUUCUGGACACAGAUAUUAUGUGUAAAAUGUGAAGAAUUAAAAAAAAAAAUCUAUAAUACUUGAAUUUUCAUUGUAUCAAUAAACAGCUCCAAUUUUAUAAGAAAAAAAGAUUCAAAGAUUUGUUUUUAAUUACUGAAGCUGCCAGCAAUCAUUAUAAUCACAGUAUAAACAUUAUUCUGACAGCAACCAUAAAGCGAAAAAAGGUACACAGAUGUCUACAUUCAUUAAAGUAAAUAAAACAAAAAUCAAGAAUCACAUUGUUGUAAGAUAUGUCAGAGAAUUAAACAAAUUAAAAAUCAUAUAAGAAAUUUAA